rnacentral:rRNA from 1 species
GGAUAAUCUGCCCUCAGGACAGGGAUAACCCCGGGAAACUGGGGAUAAUACCUGAUAGGUGAGAUGGUCUGGAACGAUAUCUCGCCCAAAGCUCCGGCGCCUGAGGAUGAGUCUGCGGCCGAUUAGGUUGUUGGCGGUGUAACGGACCACCAAGCCGAAGAUCGGUACGGGCGUUGAGAGACGGAGCCCGGAGAUGGGGGCUGAGAUACGGCCCCAGGCCCUACGGGGCGCAGCAGGUGCGAAAACUCCGCAAUUCACGAAAGUGUGACGGGGGAACUCCAAGUGCUGCAGCGUUAGCUGUAGCUUUUGUUUAGUGUAAAUAGCUAUUCGAAUAAGGGCUGGGUAAGACCGGUGCCAGCCGCCGCGGUAACACCGGCAGCUCGAGUGGUGACCGCUAUUAUUGGGCCUAAAGCGUUCGUAGCCUGUUUGGUAAGUCUUUGGGUAAAUCCUGACGCUCAACGUUAGGAAUUCUAGAGAUACUGCCAGACUUGGGACCGAGAGAAGUCAGAGGUACUCCUGGGGUAGCGGUGAAAUGCUGUAAUCCUAGGGGGACCACCAGUGGCGAAGGCGUCUGACUAGAGCGGGUCCGACGGUGAGGGACGAAAGCCAGGGGCGCGAACGGGAUUAGAUACCCCGGUAGUCCUGGCCGUAAACGCUGUGGGCUAGGUGUUGCACGCUCUACGGGGCGUGCAGUGCCGAAGAGAAGUUGUUAAGCCUACCGCCUGGGAAGUACCGUCGCAAGUCGGAAACUUAA